rnacentral:rRNA from 1 species
GACGAACGCUGGCGGCGUGCUUAACACAUGCAAGUCGAACGGAAAGGCCCUGCUUUUGUGGGGUGCUCGAGUGGCGAACGGGUGAGUAACACGUGAGUAACCUGCCCUUGACUUUGGGAUAACUUCAGGAAACUGGGGCUAAUACCGGAUAGGAGCUCCUGCUGCAUGGUGGGGGUUGGAAAGUUUCGGCGGUUGGGGAUGGACUCGCGGCUUAUCAGCUUGUUGGUGGGGUAGUGGCUUACCAAGGCUUUGACGGGUAGCCGGCCUGAGAGGGUGACCGGGAUGGGUGGUGUGGAGUGGCAGCAGGGCACAGGAAGGGGCGGAGGAGUGGGGAAUAGAGGAAGUGGGGCGGAAGGGUGAGGGGCCAGCGCGGGGUGGGGGAUGGCGGGGGGCGGGUGGAACGGCUGUCGAGCGUGGGACGAGGAGUGAGGGACGGGGGGGGGUAGAGAAGCAAGGGAGAACUGCGGACGAGCGGCAGGGGUGAUAGGCGGAGCGGCACAGGGCAGAAA